GGGAACCGCCCGCGUGGUGCUGUAGGCCUGGGUUUUGGGGGUGGUGAAGCGCGGAAAAACACUAUAACCCGCAAAAUAAGUUAUAAGAGUAGGUAUGUAUUUAUGUAUUUAUUCAGCGCUGAGGUGUAUGGGGGAUAGCUCCUCCAAAAACUUGCCCACCUCUGGCGACCUGCUCUUCUCCUUUUGUUCUCUACAGACCAGAGCUACACAAUACGCCUAACACAUACCAUUGCCUAUCACGGCUUCAUACUGAAAUUACUUCCACGCCUCUUCGCGACUGUGCAUUGUUCCCUUUAGGUUACUCUGGGGGUCUUGGGGAUGAAGCGAAUGCUCUUCCUCUCCGUUUGAACUUGUCACCUUGCCUCCUUACGCAUGCUCUCUUUUUAUUCCUUUGGUUAUUUUCUAGACUUCGAUAUCAGUCUUCCUGGUCUGAGGACCCCCUUAUCCUGCGGUUUCUUUGUCCUUGCAUCCUGUUUACGUAUUCUAGCCCCUGACCACACCUUGUAGCCUUGCUCUCCUGUUCUUGUAAGCACCGUAAAUUGUAACAAGUGAUGCGGUUUUGUCAGUCCUCCUUUUAGUCAAAGCAUUUCUUGAUUCUUAAUUGUCUAUUUCAGUGGAACCUGCACCGCUUUCCCUUCACAUCUUGCACUCCCGGAGCUUGGCGGUGCUCCAGGGAGUCAACACAGGGGGAUAGAGCAGCUCUCCCUCACUAAAACCCAGUGCGGAGCCUUUUCCUCCGCCCUGCAUCCUGUCGUGAGGCACAAAUGGCCCGUCCCUCCGUAACCCCCCGCACGCUCCCCUCACUGCCCAGCUGAUGCCUCUCUCCCUCUGCAGUGUGUCCCGAGGUACCUCCGAGCCCUUCAGACGCUCCCGAUGGGCAGGAGCCAAGCAUGGCGGGCCCGGGCAGGGGGAAGCCCUGGAGAUCUGCACUCUUUGGAUGCCUUUGGGUGAGGGGCACACCAAGCCCGGCACUCCUCACAGCCUGGGGCUGAGACCUCAUGUAGCAACCUCAUGCUUGAAAUGUUUUAGACAUGGGUAAUCACACCUAAAUGUGAAGCAGUACUCAGGACUUCGUAGGAGUAAAUAAUGCUUUCUACUGGAAGGGAUGAAAACAACAUCUGCCAGGAAUUAAACGUCAGUUUAUGAUUUCCUGAGAAGGUGAUUUGACUUCAUACUGAUGAGGUGAUUCCAGUUGUCACCAACUGACACCAACUGACUGUCACCAACUGAUUCCAGUUGUCACCUCUAAGUGUGGUCUUGGAAGUAGACUUGAGACAAGCAAUGGCUAAAAUCAUGUAUCUUCAAUGAUCAUGUUGAAACAUGUUUCCUUACAAAAACUGCUGUAAUUUGACUGUGGUUUGAUGGAAAUAAAUUGAGUAUUAAUUAAAAUAAAAUGA